rnacentral:lncRNA from 1 species
AUGAAUGUCUUAACAAUUUUCAAUAUAGCUGAAAAUUUGGAGAAAUGAUUUACUCAUAAAUAUCUAUAAACUGAGCGAUCAAUAUGUGGAUAUAAGAUCGAAAUUAAGGUGGGAUAAGCCGAAAAGUCCUCACCAUAUCCUCAACUUAAGAAUCUUCACUAGAAAGGCUUCCGUUAUUCUAAAAAGAUGAAGUUCGCUCGUACAAAGCUCUAAAUCUUUAUUGUUAUUCGUUACUCCAUACACAUUUUCUUUACUUGUUAUAUGUUCCUCUUACUGAUAUUCAUUUACCGUUUUUGUUGAUGUUUAGUGUUUCUCAUUCCCUAUAACACGUAACUCUUUUCAUUGUUUCCCGUUGUUAGCCGUAACCUAAACCCGUUACCCGACUCUAUAUCCUAAUUUGUUACCUGUUACCUAAACCCUAAACCCUUUUAUGUUACCGAACACCCAUUUCCUAAAUCCUAAACUCUAAUCCGUUAUUGCCUUUGUUUAAGGCUAGGAGAAUAAUUGUAGCUUGUUUUGGGGCCAAGAAGAAACAAUUAUAGUCAAAUUUCACAUCAUUUGAAACAAGAUAAAACUAUAGGUAUGUACGUAACACUAGCCAAACUGGUUGCAUUGAGACUUGAGAGUGAAUUAAAAACUAGGGAUAUGAUGGGAGAAAGAGAAUAGUUUGAAUUUGAUUAUUCAAAUAUAUAUUGGACGUGCCAACAAGAUACGAAUUCGAUGUUCAACUACAUGCUCAUGAAAGUCACGAUUGAAAAAUAUGAGCACAAUCGAGGAUGGAGGACCGAGUCUUAUUCUGUCAUCUUGAGAUUUCAAUAGACAAUUCACCUAAACUGUUUGAUCUUGUUAGCAACUAUGCUUAAACUGUUCGGCCAUCACCAAGGUAAAUUAAGUUAGCACUUGCUAUUGCCACGAAAUUGAUGUUUGAAAAAUUAGUUAAAAUCUCAAAAAGUCCCACCGUAUAUAUGACAGUUAUUGUACCAAUACAUCAAGUAAUUUUGGUUCGAUAAUAAGGUGAGACUCGUUUGAUAGGUACCGAUAUACACUUAGUUUGCAAAACUUACAUUAAUGUUUUUUAUAACUUAUAUUGACAUAUAUGAACGUCAGAACGUUGAGUGACGAUAAAUUGUCAAUUUAGCUUCUUCGUUGAUGAAUCAUUCAAUAGUUCUAAAUGCAUUCAACAUGCAUACAGUAUAUUGAUAACAGAUAUCUCGAUUUGAUCAAGUAGCUAGCUAGCUAGCCGACUAAAUCUUUGCAGGAUCAAAC